rnacentral:rRNA from 1 species
CUACGGGGGGCAGCAGUGGGGAAUAUUGCACAAUGGGCGCAAGCCUGAUGCAGCCAUGCCGCGUGUAUGAAGAAGGCCUUCGGGUUGUAAAGUACUUUCAGCGGGGAGGAAGGGAGUAAAGUUAAUACCUUUGCUCAUUGACGUUACCCGCAGAAGAAGCACCGGCUAAGUCCGUGCCAGCAGCCGCGGUAAUACGGAGGGUGCCAGCGUUAAUCGGAAUUACUGGGCGUAAAGCGCACGCAGGCGGUUUGUUAAGUCAGAUGUGAAAUCCCCGGGCUCAACCUGGGAACUGCAUCUGAUACUGGCAAGCUUGAGUCUCGUAGAGGGGGGUAGAAUUCCAGGUGUAGCGGUGAAAUGCGUAGAGAUCUGGAGGAAUACCGGUGGCGAAGGCGGCCCCCUGGACGAAGACUGACGCUCAGGUGCGAAAGCGUGGGGAGCAAACAGGAUUAGAUACCCGUGUAGUC